AGUGAACGCUGGCGGUAGGCCUAACACAUGCAAGUCGAACGGCAGCACAGUAAGAGCUUGCUCUUACGGGUGGCGAGUGGCGGACGGGUGAGGAAUACAUCGGAAUCUACUUUUUCGUGGGGGAUAACGUAGGGAAACUUACGCUAAUACCGCAUACGACCUACGGUUGAAAGCAGGGGAUCUUCGGACCUUGCGCGAUUGAAUGAGCCGAUGUCGGAUUAGCUAGUUGGCGGGGUAAGGGCCCACCAAGGCGACGAUCCGUAGCUGGUCUGAGAGGAUGAUCAGCCACACUGGAACUGAGACACGGUCCAGACUCCUACGGGAGGCAGCAGUGGGGAAUAUUGGACAAUGGGCGCAAGCCUGAUCCAGCCAUACCGCGUGGGUGAAGAAGGCCUUCGGGUUGUAAAGCCCUUUUGUUGGGAAAGAAAAGCAGCAGGUUAAUACCCCGCUGUUCUGACGGUACCCAAAGAAUAAGCACCGGCUAACUUCGUG
rnacentral:rRNA from 1 species